AAUAGUCUAACGACUGAACCAGCAACUUGGGAGAAUGUAUGAGUUAUACUAAAAAGUAUAAUAUAGAGAAAUCUAUUAAAAUUCUAAAUAAAAUUUGAUGAUGACAUUUUUUAUUUAUAUGUCUUGACCAAAUCACGUGCCAGCAGUCGCGGCAAUACGUGGAAGACUAGUGUUAUUCAUCUUAAAUGGGUUUAAAGGGUACCUAGACGGUCAAAUAAACCUAUAUAAAAAGGUACUUUUUGACUAGAGUUUAAUGUAAGAGGGAUAAAUAGAACAAGUAGAGUAGAGAUGAAAUUUUUUGAUACACUUUGUAGACUGAUAUAGGCGAAAGCAACCUUUUAAGUAAAAACUGACGUUGAGGGACGAAGGCUACGAUAAACGAACAGGAUUAGUUACCCAAGUAAUGAGUGCUGUAAAUGAUGAAUGCCAUAUGUAAGAUAAAUAAUAUUUUGUGUAUAAAUGAAAGUGUAAGCAUUCCACCUCAAGAGUAAAGUGGCAACGCAGGAACUGAAAUCAUUAGACCGUUUCUGAGAACAGUAGUGAAGUAUGUUGUUUAAUUUGAUAGCCCACGGAAAACCUUACCACAAUUUGAAUAUAUAUGUAUAUACAUAUAUACAAGCGUUGCACGGCUGUCUUCAGUUAAUGUCGUGAGAUUGUGAUUAGAUUCAUAAAAUUAACGUAAACCCUUAUUUUAUUUUUAAUAAAGUAGUACCUUAACUAUAUUAAGUUGGUAAUAGGGACCAAGACAAGUCAUCAUGGCCUUAACAUUGUGGGCUAUAGACGUGCCACAGAAUCCUAUACAAAAAGAAGCUAAAUUGUGAAAUUUAGCUAAUCUUUAAAAAUCGGAAAAAUAU
rnacentral:rRNA from 1 species